rnacentral:rRNA from 1 species
UACGUAGGGUGCAAGCGUUAAUCGGAAUUACUGGGCGUAAAGCGUGCGCAGGCGGUUGUGUAAGACAGAUGUGAAAUCCCCGGGCUCAACCUGGGAACUGCAUUUGUGACUGCACAGCUGGAGUGCGGCAGAGGGGGAUGGAAUUCCGCGUGUAGCAGUGAAAUGCGUAGAUAUGCGGAGGAACACCGAUGGCGAAGGCGAUCCCCUGGACCUGUACUGACGCUCAUGCGCGAAAGCGUGGGGAGCAAACAGG